AAAUGCAAUAAAUUGUGAUGUCUUUGCAUCUUCUAGGUCCUUUUCUUUGAGUAAAGUACUAACUGCAGAAUAUAAAUCUGAUAAUUCAAGAGAAAAAAGUUAACACAGCAAAGCACUAAAUUAUAACAUUGUUUCAAUGGAGAAACUACUUCAGAAUUCCUGCUAAGGGGUCCAGGAAAACAUCUCACCAAAUGGGAUACAAGUUCACCAUGGGGGCAUCAACCUCAUUUGUUUCAUCAGCCAGGAGCAAGAGAAAAGAGAAUGAAGGUGACGGUUCCAGACGCUCUAUCCUCAGUCACUAGCCAGGACAGCUCCUAAUUCGUAAUAUCACCACUGCAUAUUUACUGAUGGUUUGUCAAUGCUGAAUUUAAAGUAUGAGCAAGAGGACAAAAUAUGUAACACAACUACUAACGGAAUGUUGGAUCAUCAGAGAUAUUCAGCUCUGCAUCAAACGUUGGAAACUGGCGUCUCGAGAUUCUUAAAUAAAGAGAACGCAGUAUCUCGUCAUCUGGUGGUGACUCUUCCUGUGUUUUCUGUGUAGAUUGUUUUUGAGUAUUCCUUCCAAUGUUCUUUUGACAUUACAGUCUUUAAGAAAGAGGGAACAGAUGUGUAACUGAUUUGGUGCUGCCAUAUCUGAUUGUAAAAAGUAAGAAGGAAAUCCUUGAACUUGAAAGCUCCUUGAUCCUAC